CCUACGGGAGGCAGCAGUAGGGAAUUUUGGGCAAUGGGCGAAAGACUGACCCAGCCACGCCGCGUGAUUGAGGAAGCUCUUCGGUGUGUAAAACUCUGUUUGUCGGGACGCAACAUGACGGUAGCCACCGCGGAUGCAUCGACUAAAUCCGGGCGAGCAGCCGCGGUAAUACGGGGGAGGCACGCUUUGUCCGGAAUUAUUGGGCUUAACGAGUUCGUUGGUGGGUCGUUAAGGCUGGUGGUAAAUGCAGAGGCUCAACCGCUGUUCGGCACUGGAUACGGGCAGGCUUGAUUGCGGUAGAGGUAAGGGGAAUGCCUGGUGUAGCGGUGAAAUGCGUAGAUAUCGGGAGGAACAUCGGUGGCGUAAGC
rnacentral:rRNA from 1 species